AUGAAAUGAAAUAACGAACGUCAAAGCGAACGUGACAAAAUUAGUUUCGAUGAAGAGAUAUUUACAUCUUGGCAUGUACUUGGAUGAAACGUAACGUGGAAAAAGCAUAUUUUUACCAAACGUCCAGCAAUAGGACAACAAUAACGCGAAAAGUCAUAAGAAAUAGUCAACCUGCAGUGGAAAAUAAGGUCUUGUUAUAGUAUAAGUGUAUAAUGAAGUUUAAAUGGAUACUGUCGAAGAUGCUACCUGAAUUGUAAAUCUUUAUGUGAAUGCACUAAUGUGGUAAAGUAGCAGUAUACGAUGGAGUAUUGAGAUAUUGUAGAAGCACCGUGGUACGUCACGAGAGACUUUACCGAAAAUUCGGUAUCAAAACAGUGAAAGAAGAAAUAAAUAAUGAAACUAAACAUAUCAUAAUGAAAACUGGAGCUACAUAACAGUUUAUUUGUGGACGAUAUAUUUUCAAGUAUUCGUUCGUAGACUAAAGAAGAAAGUACCUCAGGACUUACUAAAAGAAUAUUGAUUUAUGACACUGGCCUCGAAGACCGCCAGAAUUAUUAUUAUGAAAAUGGUACUGAAUAUCGCUCAGACAGAAUGAUUGCAAUAACAGAGAAAAAGAAAAUGUAACGAAGACGGAAUAGUAAAAUAGAAUGUUUAAUUUAAGGUCCUCGGGUGAAACUAUUCACAAGGAAGGUGUUGACACUACACUGGUGUUGUCAAAUGCGAAUCGAAUUUCAGCUGGAUGAUUGAUUCAACUGUUGAUUAAGGUGUUGCAGAUGAUAAUUGAUUCUCAAGUAAUUAAACGAUAUAGAUAGCAUACAUGUAUGGGGACAUACAUCAUAACGUUCGAAUGGCCGAAGCGGAAUGGGGACAUUCCGGCAUCAGGACGGCCGUCUGUUAGCAACGAAAGGAUUAACGCUGAUUUGGCUAUCAAAUUACACCUGAGGAACGCGGGGAGUCGUACGGGAUAACAAAAAGAUAUUCCUUGUGGCAUUCGAACGUUGACCGCGGGCUAGAACGCCAUACGCCAUGACUCGAGAGCCUUCUAAAAUAUGAGUGUGUUGUGUACCUAUGAUUGAUGGCUUGAAUUGGCAAAUUAUGGUAUUGGUGAAUAAGUUGGUUUCAGACUAUUUGUAUUUAAUAUCCAAUUUGUGAGUGAGUAUGUGUACGAAU